GACACCAUCUCUACAUUUAGCCAACAAACGAACUGUUCAAAAGCGGACCGAUUUCCGAGUGCGCGACUAGUUGAAUUCUUUUGCAAGUGCAAUCUUCUUUCGGGACUCGCUUUUCCAUUUGAUUUUGUUUUUGGCAGGACUCGGUACUUGUUGAAUUUCGAAUUCGUGUGCGGGUGUGUCCCCGUGUCUCUCGCACUGCGUGUGUGUGUUUGUGUGCGUGAGGCGAACACGAUUUAAAAAUAAAACGGCAAAUACAUAACAAAAAAUAUAUUGAAGAGCAACAGCGGCGGGCGUACCAAUACAAACAGAGCGAUACCAGCCAGUCGUGUGCGUGUUUACACAGUGUUGUUGCGCUGGUGUUUAAGUACCAAAGUUUCCUCCUAACCAUACAUAAAAACCAAACCAAAUCACAUAACGAUCUCGUUCGCAUGCUUGCGAAUGCAUUUUAUGGACGCCUCAGACUCAUUUGCCUGUGGAAACCAGCCGGACCUUGAUCGGGCCAAGAGCCUCAUCAAAAAGUCCCUGAACCGAAAUUGAAAACGAUACAGAAACAGAUCCAGAAACCAAGUCAAUCCGAACCGUUGCAUUGAUCACCAUACCCAUUCAGCUGUCAUAGCUAAGCAUCCACACUCACAAAACACCAUCAUCAUAAUUGUCGGGUAGAGCAAGAGCAUGAGCCUUUGGAAGCGCAUCUCCGGUCAUGCCGACUGCGAGCAGCGUAUGGCGGCCUACUACGAUGAGAAGGGUCUGCUCGACCUGCGCCUCUGCCUGGCGCCCUGGAUCGAAGACAGGAUAAUGUCCGAGCAAGUGACACCAAACUCCCCGGAGCAGUUGGAGCGCGUGGCCCUCAAGUUCAACGAGGAUCUGCACCAAAAGCUUCUGUCGACGCGUACUGCCACCGAUCAGGCCCUCAAGUUCCGGGUAGUGGAGCUCUGCGCCCUCAUCCAACGCACCUCCGCGGUUGAGUUGUACGCACACCUGCGCAGCGGCCUACAAAAAGAGCUGCAGCUAGUCACCGAGAAGAGUGUGGCUCCCACUGCAGGCCAAUCGAUGCCGCUCAAUCCCUACAGCAUGAACAGCACCCCCAUGGUAACCGGCUACAUGGACACCAGUGAUAUACUGGCGGUCUCCAACACCUACAACCCUUCAGUGGUCCAGGGCAUUGGCGCCAUUCACAAUGUGCAGAAUGCUGGCAUUGCCUCGCCAGCCCUCGGAAUGGCCACGCCCAAGGUGGAGCUGUACGAGGUCCAGCACCAGAUCAUGCAGACCCUCAACGAGUUCGGUAACUGUGAAAACGCUCGGCGGCUGCUCGUUCAGAACUACAGCAACAUGCUGAACUACACAUCCUCGCCGAACGCAGAGGCUGCAUUCAGAAGCCUGAUAGACGAGAAGGCGGCCAUCGUGCUCACAAUGCGUCGCAGCUUCAUGUGCUACGAAUCCCUGCACGACAUGGUCAUACACGAGCUGAAGAGCUGGCGCCACCAGCAGGCGCAAGCCGGAAACGGAGCUCCUUUCAAUGAGGGCUCUUUAGAUGACAUUCAGCGUUGCUUAGAGAUGCUCGAGACGUUUAUCACCCACAUGCUGGCUGCUGUGAAGGAGACGAUGCGCGUGCGUCUGGUCAGCGAGGAGCCGGAACUUACGCAUUUGCUUGAACAGGUGCAGAAUGCACAAAAGAACCUGGUCUGCGCCGCCUUCAUCGUGGACAAGCAGCCGCCACAAGUAAUGAAGACCAACACGCGCUUCGCGGCCUCCGUGCGCUGGCUCAUUGGCUCCCAGCUGGGUCUCCACAACAAUCCGCCCACAGUCGAGUGCAUCAUCAUGUCAGAAAUCCAAGCUCAGCGGUUCGUUACGCGCGGCUCUCAGAUGGACAACAGCCUGCCCGGUCAGUCGUCGGGCGAGAUACAGAAUGCCUCCAGCACCAUGGAGUACCAGCCGAACAACCAUGUGUUCUCCGCCAGCUUCCGCAACAUGCAGCUUAAGAAGAUCAAGCGGGCUGAGAAGAAGGGCACCGAGAGCGUCAUGGACGAGAAGUUCGCCCUGUUGUUCUACACCACCACCACAGUGAACGAUUUCCAGCUUCGUGUGUGGACCCUGUCCCUGCCCGUGGUGGUGAUCGUGCACGGCAACCAGGAGCCCCAGUCCUGGGCCACCAUCACUUGGGACAAUGCUUUCGCGGAGAUCGUACGCGAUCCCUUCAUGAUCACCGACCGUGUCACAUGGGCCCAGUUGUCGGUGGCGCUAAACACCAAAUUCGGAUCGUGCACAGGACGUUCGUUGACGAUCGAUAACCUGGAUUUCCUCUACGAGAAACUCCAGCGUGAGGAGCGGUCUGAGUACAUUACGUGGAACCAGUUCUGCAAGGAGCCCAUGCCCGACAGGACGUUCACCUUCUGGGAGUGGUUCUUUGCCAUCAUGAAACUCACCAAAGACCACAUGUUGGGCAUGUGGAAGGAGGGCUGCAUUAUGGGCUUCAUUAACAAGGCCAAGGCGCAGGAUGAUCUGCUGCGUUCUUCUUACGGAAUCGGCACCUUCCUGCUGCGCUUUUCCGACAGCGAACUAGGUGGAGUCACCAUCGCCUAUGUAAACGAAAAUGGACUGGUCACCAUGCUGGCACCCUGGACUGCUCGUGACUUCCAGGUGCUGAACCUGGCCGACCGCAUUCGUGAUCUGGACGUACUGUGCUGGCUGCACCCCAGCGACCGCAAUGGCAGUCCCGUGAAAAGGGACGUGGCCUUCGGCCAGUUCUACUCUAAGCGUCAAGAGCCUGAACCGCUCGUUCUAGAUCCCGUGACCGGCUAUGUGAAGAGCACUUUGCACGUUCACGUUUGCAACAAUGGUGAUACCGGGUCCACCAGUGGCACCCCGCACCACGUGCCGCAGCAGGAAAUGCAAUUGGGAAAUUUCUCGCCACUGAGCGCCAUCACUAACCCUAGCCCAGCACGACACGAGGAAUCAGAUUCCGAUGAUAGCGAAACGGCCGAGGCCCUAGAGAGAAUCGUAAAUGGCGCUCAACCCAACGAUCCUGUGAUAAGUGAGAUCUUUGAUGCCAUAAUGACGAGCUCCUGUAGACAUGGUGACUUUGGAAUGGCGGACUUCGAUUCGAUGACAAACUUUGAGGUAUACAACUAAACUAACAUUAAAGAAAAAAAAGUAGGCGCCUAUGUAUAAACGAAAUCAGAUAAACACCUGAAAGUGUGGCCGCUAUCUUGGAAGUCCGUCGAUGAUGUUUACGCCACCUCAGCGAUUGCAACGAUCUGGCGCAUGACUCAUUGUGCUAUUCGAAAGUUUUAUUUAAUGUUAUCUAGAUGUAAUAAUUAGAUUUUGGAAUGCAUCGUAGUGGAAGGUUUUGUUUGCUUUUGUGAAACGCCAAACCUCAAGAACCACACCAACAACAAUAAGAUCUACCAGAGCAAUGCAUGCAAAUUGCGACACCUCAACACAAACACCUUCAGCACACAGCCAGAACAUUGUUUAUAUCGUGAUUAUGUUCGUGUCUGACUUAUGAGGAAUUUCGAGUUUCUGUUUUGUAUAAAAACUUUGGAAAGUGUCCGCAUGUUAUUCGUUUUAUAUUUUUAUAUUGCCUUUAUAUAUGUAUACAUAUACUUUUAUUUUUGUGCUACGACGUUUUCGUCUGUGACAAAGCAUUACGUUUAGAUGAUAAUGUCGAGAAAAUCGGAUUAGUUAGUGAGUAACUAUUUGUUGAAUCUAAAUUUUUGAUUUUGAUUUUAAUUUUAAUCGCCUAAUUCUAAAACUUUUUUAAAGCAAAAUACUUCGAGUGUUAAGUUUAAGUUAAACGAAACAAGAAAACAAAUCAACGAGAGCAGCAACGCAAGGAACUUUUGCGUUAAUUUUAGUUAUAAUCUAGAAAACAUUGUGAGUUGCUUUAUGUGAACCCCUCCUUUAUUGGCUUCCAAUGCUGAAAAUGCGCAAAAAUGUAACCAAUCCAUGUAUAUUUUUUUUUUAAUUUGUUUGUUUGAGUCAGGGCAGAGUUUGCAAUGCAUUUCAAAUGCGAUUGCCUAUUUAGUCAGUUAUCAGAGACACGAGAAACACACACGAUACUUUUGUGAGAGAUCGUAAACAUAAUCAAUAACAAUAACACAACACUACACUUAGCUUUGUACAUGAAUCUUAAGAAUUUUGUAAGAGUUAAGUACAACCCAAAUAAAUAAACAAUUAAAUAAACGUUUGAAACACUUAAA